CCUACGGGGGGCAGCAGUGGGGAAUAUUGGACAAUGGGGGCAACCCUGAUCCAGCCAUGCCGCGUGUGUGAAGAAGGCCCUCGGGUUGUAAAGCACUUUCAGUGAGGAAGAACGCCUGGUGGUUAAUACCCAUCAGGAAAGACAUCACUCACAGAAGAAGCACCGGCUAACUCCGUGCCAGCAGCCGCGGUAAUACGGAGGGUGCGAGCGUUAAUCGGAAUUACUGGGCGUAAAGCGCGCGUAGGUGGCUUGAUAAGCCGGUUGUGAAAGCCCCGGGCUCAACCUGGGAACGGCAUCCGGAACUGUCAAGCUAGAGUGCAGGAGAGGAAGGUAGAAUUCCCGGUGUAGCGGAGAAAUGCGUAGAGAUCGGGAGGAAUACCAGUGGCGAAGGCGGACUUCUGGACUGACACUGACACUGAGGUGCGAAAGCGUGGGUAGCAAACAGGAUUAGAUACCCCAGUAGUC
rnacentral:rRNA from 1 species